UAGACGUAGAAGAAACUGAACCUCUGCUUAUCUUCUCCCAACUUUACCUUCUACUAGUCCCAUGUUGCUGUUGUCGUUUCCCCUCCUACCAAGGCCUUAAACCAUUGCCUGCCCUUUAUUUCUCCUAUGGAACUGCUAGCAGCUGCAAAGCUACGUUCUGCCCCAUCCCUCUUUUUUCAAAGGCAGCGUCUCAUUGCUGUACAGGAGAAGAAGAAAGGAGGAAUCUUGUUUCUCCAGUGUAACCUACUCUGUUCUUUAUAAAACUCUUUAUAGGACCAAAAUAAUGGUGGUUUCAUGAGAACUCUUCUCGUGCCAAGCUGUCGCCUAAAGCGUGGCUCCGGAUUUUGUUCGUUUUUUAGCCUGAUAUCAUGUGUGUGUUUUUGUGUGCGAUUGAAAUUAAAAUAUUUCACUUCCA